CUAAUGUCUGUUAGCACAACGCUCCCAUUUAAAACCAGCAGGUAACAGAAUGUGCUCUGGGGGGCUAAUGGGGUAGGAAGGAGCAGCAACAAUAAAAUGGGAAGACUUCCAGGUGGGAAUCAGCCUUCUUCUCACACAAAGGAAGUUGCUGGCCGACAAGGGACAAUGAACCACACACACAGAAAGUGUCCUACUGCAGAGAGACUGUGAGGCACAGAUAGUCCAAGACACCUAGAAAAAUCACGUGUGUGGAGCUUCCUACGCGUUACUGGCACAGUUUACAUAUGCUGAACCUUUACAAAUGUCUCUUGCCAGCAUUUAUAUGACUUUUGCUCCUGGACUAUUAAUUCUCACUAAUGUGGGAGAGGCUGGACACGCACAUGAUUUUGCAUUGAGGAAUCUCAGCACUGGUCUUUCUGCGGCUUUUAUGAAGUCUGACUGGGAAGAUGAGAAAAGACUGGCAAAUCCUGUCUGCCUCCAGGAGCCAAUAAUCUUUUGCCAGGAGGAAGAAAUGGUACAUGGGCCCAGAAGCCAUGGCCAUGCAGUGACCCUGGAUCAAGUCGUGGAGCAGUAGAAGGGCUUCUAUCAAGCAUCUCCCAGCAGCCUGAGUCCUAUCCACAAGCUAUUGCCAAGCUAGCUCACAUGUCCACAUGGGACUCAUGCUUCCUGUGCUUAUGGCACUAUCUUUUAUUGUUCACUCUUCAUGUUUUCUUCUACCCACUAGUCACCCUUGAUGUUCAUGUAAGUCUGAUUUCACUGGUUAAAUAACACUACAGAAAUGGUGAUACAAUUUUUUUAAAAAAAGGUUGUAGUUUAUUAUGGCCAAUUCAUGUUACUAUAGAAUAAAAUGGGAAACCCUGGAGGAAGAAAAAGUGUUAACAGGAAAGAAAGAAAGAAAGAAAGAAAGAAAGAAAGAAAGAAAGAAAGAAAGAAAGAAAGAAAGAAAGAAAGGCAGGCAGGCAGGCAGGCAGGCAAAGAAACAAGGGAGGAGAGAGAAAAGGAUCAGAGGCCAGCCAUCAGGGCACUAUCACUGUCUCCAGACCUCUUGGCUGCUCGUCUUUUCUUCCUACCAUCUGUCACAAUGCUGUCAUCUCUACGCUCAGCAUAGAAUUUGGAUUUAUCAUAAGUUGUACAUAAGAUCAAUACAUAUAGACAUUAUAGUCUCUAUUCUAAAUCUAGAACAGUAAUGAGUACACUGUUUUAUGAGGGGCAAUGCAAGGAAAAAAAAAUACUAUCAGUUUUUAAAACUAUUUUCGUCAUAUGAAUCUGUUGUUUUGUCAAAAAUCUCUGCCCCUCAACCCCCAAAGAAGACUACUCAAAAAAUAAAGGCAGACUAGUCCUGACUAUAGGCUGGCCUUGGCUUGUGUUGAGCAGUACAGUUUGGCAUAUAUGAUAUAUAAUGAGUUGAAAGUGGGGGUCAAGAAGCCUCACCAGCUCUGUCUUUGGACACUGAUCUACCAUGGGGUGGCCUGCGGGUUCUUAAGGGUAAAAGUCCACACAGAAGGAGGAGUAUCGCCAUCUCAGGCCCUCCCACUGCUACCUUAGUGAACCCAUAGGGAAAGAGUGUAAGAGUGCUGGUCAACCCCCAGAAUCAUAAGAAGCCAGGUUUGUAUAUGCCAAGCGACCAUUCACUCCUUUUCCUCCAGGUCUGACCUAUAGUGAGCCUAUAUAUCAGGAUGAUUCUAUAAUUCUGAAGCUAGACAGUACAGUGGGAUGCUAAGAAUCAACACAACAGAAAAAUAAAUCAAGAAACUCACAGGAUCAAAUUAGAAAAAAAAAAAAAGCUUUGGUUUUAUGCGUGGAGUCCUUUACUCUACGAUGAAGAGACAUGACAACUGUGGUCCUUUGAACCUUGCAACAGAAACCACGAGCUGAUGAAAUGUGAGCACUGUAGCUAAAUUUGCUUUCUCAUGACCUAGGGAGAAUAUGCCGGUACUUGCUGGUUGUGAGCAGGCUGGCACUGUAUGAGGAGAGUAGGCCCAGGCAUGGUAGAGAACCUCAUGCACUGUGAGACACUGGUAAUGGAGAGUGAGAGAGCUGAAGAAGAGGCCAGAGGAAAGCACUCACCGCCUG